rnacentral:rRNA from 1 species
AACUCUGGGGAGACUGCCGGUGGAUAAACCGGAGGAAGGCGGGGGAUGACGUCAAGUCCUCAUGGCCCUUACAUCCCGGGCUACACACGUGCUACAAUGGCAGGUACAGAGGGCUGCGAAGCCGCGAGGUGGAGCGAAUCCCAGAAAACCUGUCUCAGUCCGGAUUGAAGUCUGCAACUCGACUUCAUGAAGGCGGAAUCGCUAGUAACCGCGAAUCAGCAGGUCGCGGUGAAUACGUUCCCGGGCCUU